rnacentral:rRNA from 1 species
UACGUAGGCAGCGAGCGUUGUUCGGAAUUACUGGGCGUAAAGAGUGUGUAGGCGGUGCUCUAAGUUCGGUGUGAAAUCUCCUGGCUCAACUGGGAGGGUGCGCCGGAAACUGGAGUGCUUGAGCGUGGGAGAGGAUAGCGGAAUUCCCAGUGUAGAGGUGAAAUUCGUAGAUAUUGGGAAGAACACCGGUGGCGAAGGCGGCGACCUGGUCCGAUACUGACGCUGAGGCGCGAAAGCGUGGGGAGCAAACAGG